rnacentral:rRNA from 1 species
CAGUCGCCGCGGUAAUACAGAGGGUGCAAGCGUUAAUCGGAUUUACUGGGCGUAAAGCGUGCGUAGGUGGCUGUUUAAGUCGGAUGUGAAAGCCCUGGGCUUAACCUGGGAACUGCAUUCGAUACUGGAUAGCUAGAGAUCGGUAGAGGGCAGCGGAAUUCCGGGUGUAGCGGUGAAAUGCGUAGAUAUCCGGAGGAACACCGAUGGCGAAGGCAACUGCCUGGGCCUGAUCUGACACUGAGGCACGAAAGCGUGGGUAGCAAACAGGAUUAGAUACCCGCGUAGUCCCUGUCUCUUAUAC